GUGGGGAAUCUUGCCCAAUGGGCGCAAGCCUGAGGCAGCAACGCCGCGUGCGGGAAGAAGGCCCUCGGGUUGUAAACCGCUUUCAGCAGGAACGAAAAUGACGGUACCUGCAGAAGAAGGUGCGGCCAACUACGUGCCAGCAGCCGCGGUGACACGUAGGCACCAAGCGUUGUCCGGAUUUAUUGGGCGUAAAGAGCUCGUAGGCGGUUCGGUAAGUCGGGUGUGAAAACUUUGGGCUUAACCCAAAGACUGCAUCCGAUACUGCUGUGACUUGAGUCCGGUAGGGGAGUGGGGAAUUCCUGGUGUAGCGGUGGAAUGCGCAGAUAUCAGGAGGAACACCGGUGGCGAAGGCGCCACUCUGGGCCGGUACUGACGCUGAGGAGCGAAAGCGUGGGGAGCGAACAGGAUUAGAAACCCCAGUAGUCC
rnacentral:rRNA from 1 species